rnacentral:rRNA from 1 species
UACGUAGGGCGCAAGCGUUGUCCGGAAUUAUUGGGCGUAAAGAGCUCGUAGGCGGUUCGGCAAGUCGGGUGUGAAAACUCCAGGCUCAACCUGGAGACGCCACCCGAUACUGCUGUGACUUGAGUCCGGUAGGGGACCACGGAAUUCCUGGUGUAGCGGUGAAAUGCGUAGAUAUCAGGAGGAACACCUGUGGUGUAGACAGCUUUCUGGACCAUUGCUGACGCUGAGACACGAAAGCGUGGGUAGCAAACAGG